rnacentral:rRNA from 1 species
AAAGCGUGCGCAGGCGGUUUGUAAGACUGUCGUGAAAUCCCCGGGCCUCAACCUGGGAAUGGCGAUGGUGACUGCAAGGCUAGAGUUUGGCAGAGGGGGGUAGAAUUCCACGUGUAGCAGUGAAAUGCGUAGAUAUGUGGAGGAACACCGAUGGCGAAGGCAGCCCCCUGGGUCAAAACUGACGCUCAUGCACGAAAGCGUGGGGAGCAAACAGGAUUAGAUACCCUUGU